GAGCAGAGACGGAGGCCACUGGGCACAAGAGAGAUUUGGGAUGGAGAGCUGGUGAGCCUUUCUCUGUUCUCCACAUCUGAAAGGCUGGCUUUAGGCACAAUAUUUAUGAACUUUAGCAAUAUGCACGAAUCAAAUGAGCUGAAAAAUCAGACCAGGCAGAUAAAAGUAAAAUCAUCUUACUGAAAUUCCUGGAAACAACAGUUUCAGCCAUUUGACAUAUAAACUACAAGAUUUGGUGCCCAGCAUGAAGAAUAGUUCCUUUCAAGUACCUGUAUGUCCCGAAUGUAUUCCUUCCAGUGGGUUCUUGGUCUUGCUGACUUCAAGAAUGAAGCCUUGGACCCUCGUGAUAUGUGCUCACCCUUCUCUGCUCAGCUCUGUGCCUGGGAGGCUGACCUCUACAGACUGCAUCACCAGGCUUCCACCCUCUGGCUUCCAGAUGGAUUUGGCCAAUGGGCAGCACCAGUGGGAAAGGAGAGGACAGGAGGAGAGACAGGCUGAGGUCAUGUAUUUAUCCCCCUCUUCCCUACCCCAUGACAGUUCUGACAGGCAGCCCCUCUGUUUCUCCAGCUCUCAGCUGAGCUCCCGUAACAAGCUUCCUUCUCUUUCCCCUUCAGGGUUGGGGUGGCAAGAGCCACCACCUGGGUGUCUCACUAUAUCUUGUUGGCUUCCCUAAUCCUGCCUACAUUAAUCAGUUUUUUAAAUUUCAAACUCUCUUGAUGCUUCCAUUUGUUUCCCGAGGAAUCCUGGCUAAUGGAGCAAGCUUGGACACAUUCCUUCAUUUCACAGGUCCUCAGUUUAUUUCGCUGUAAAAUGAAGGGCCUGAGCAGCCUUUCCCAAAGUGGAUUCUGCACAUCAGUCUCACCAUAUUCCAUUUUGUAUUCUGUGGUCAAAUAUGUUUGGGAAACACUGAAUAUAAUGUCCCCUUUUGGAGAGCCACAAUUUGUGGCACCGUAUCAACAACUCUGAGAGGUCCUGAAGUAGAUACACCUGUUUUACCCUGUUUAGUUCAGCAUUUCCCAAAUAUAGUUAACAAUGGAACCACUGUUUUUUGCUUGUUUGCUUUUGCAGAAAACCCUAAUAACAUAGAGAAAACACCAGAUCAAGUUGGGCCAUGUAUGGCAUUGUCUUAUUCUGUGGAAAGGUAUUCAUUGCAUAUUUUUGAAUAUUUUCUGGUGGCCCCUCAAUCCUGAGGUCUAAAAUUUCCCACCCAUGUGGCUCAGCUUGCUCUAGGCACAAUAAUGGAAUUCUAUUUCUGUGACCUCAGUACAAUGUUGAGCUUCUCUUCUGACCAUGACUUUGUCAUGGUAAAGAAGUAUCCCUCUAAUUAAGAUCAGGAUUGAAAAUAGGAUUCCAGGAAUAGCUGAAUACACAAUACACAUUUACAUACAGCACAAUUGCAUCCAAGCCCCGUGGAGUGUGGUGGUGCAAAGUAAGGUGUGAAUCCCACUGAAACUUUCUGAAAGUGUGUGGUUGUCAUGAACAACACUGACAAAUCUCAGGCCCUCCUUGCUUCCUGUUACAAUAAAUAACUACCUUUUCUUCUUUUUCUUUUGGAGACAGAUUGGAGUGCAGUGGCACGAUCUCAGCUCACCGUAGCCUUGACCUCCCAGGCUCAAGAGAUCCUCUCACCUCAGCCUCCUGAGUAGCUGGGACUACAGGCACAUACCGAAUGCCCAGAACAUUUUUUUCUUGUGAGGGCUGGUGGGUAGAGCCUGGGUCUCUCACUAUAUUGCCUGCGCUGGUCUUGAACUCCUGGGCUCAAAUAAUCCUCCUGCCUUGGCCUCCCAAAAUGCUGAGAUUAUAGACGUGAGCCACUGUGCCCAGCCAGUAACUACCAUUUUGAUCAGAUCAUUUCUAGAGAAAUAUAUAUCCCCUCCUGAUUUUCUAUUGUCAAAGCCCCAGUAUCAGGCACUCAUCCCUUUCCAAUGUGGCACAAAGCAGGGGGCUUACCCCACUUCCAGGGCUGAAUCCUGGCUGAACUAAGCCCAUUUGUAUGGCCCCAUUCUCUUUCCAAUAAUAGGUUUAGGGGUGGGCUUGUGACUCAUUUCUAGCCAGUGGGACAUGCAAGAGAGGUGGAAUGCUGGGAGUUUAGAGGGAGAGUUUUCUCUGUUUCUGAAAAUACAAACACCAGAAACCAUGCUCCCUUUUUGGCACCCAAUGGUAUUUUGUUUCUAGAUGUGUUACUUAGGAAUGUGGCAGCUGUCUUGCCUGCACAGGGAGGACAGCGUCAAAAUAGAACUGAUGCUGAGGACAGCAGAGGAGAGGACAAGACAAACCUGGGUGGAUGGCGUCAUGGGGCCUCUGAUUGUUCCUGCAUCCAUUCCAUGUGGUUUAAACCAGCCUCCCUCCUCCUGUGUCCCUGACAUACAGUGACAGUGCUGCCCUGCAGGAUGGCAUAUCAGAGAGCUCAGGAUGGAUGCAGUCAAGGACGACAGCCCAUGUCCAAAAAAGCUGCCUGCUGAACAUUUGCCCAGCAGAUUUUAGAAAGAAAGGAAACAUCUUCGUGAUUUUCUUGCCUCCAGAAGAUUCCCUGAUCCAAUCUUUCCUUGGCACAAACUUUUAGUUAUUGUGUUUACAUAUACAUUUUAUAUAUGUGUGGUCAUUAUUGUACCUGUUUUAUUUGGGGACUUUAUCUUGAUGUGUGUUAUACCUAAUACACUGCAAUAUAAAUUA